GUCACGCGAACGGCAACGGUUACUGAUGAGUACCCUCAUCCUCUGGCCUACCUUAAUGACGGGAUAGUUAUUUGGGCUGUUUGCGGGUUCCGUCAGUGCCUCGUUUUUAGAAGCGAUGCAACGUCCGGGCUCGACACUGCGCUACCUACGCAGGACGACCGCCGAACACGGGUUUCGUGAUCGCUGUUCUGUGAGUUAUCCGGAGCGAUCCGGCCAGUG
rnacentral:ncRNA from 1 species